rnacentral:siRNA from 1 species
UCAAUCACCACCUAGGAUGAUUGU